rnacentral:rRNA from 1 species
AUUGAACGCUGGCGGCAUGCCUUACACAUGCAAGUCGAACGAGUGGCGGACGGGUGCGUAAUAUAUGGGAAACUGCCUAAUGGAGGGGGAUAACUACUGGAAACUGUAGCUAAUACCGCGUACCAUUGGAUGGGCCCAAGUUGGAUUAGCUAGUUGGUGGGGUAAAGGCUCACCAAGGCGACGAGCCCUAGCUGGUCUGAGAGGAUGACCAGCCACACUGUGACUGAGACACGGCCCAGACUCCUACGGGAGGCAGCAGUGGGGAAUAUUGGGCAAUGGGGGCAACCCUGAUGCAGCCAUGCCGCGUGAAUGAAGAAGGCCUUCGGGUUGUAAAGUUCUUUCGGUAGCGAGGCGGUAACUACAGAAGAAGCACCGGCUAACUCCGUGCCAGCAGCCGCGGUAAUUC